GCCGCGGUAGCUCAGUCGGUAGAGCGACGCCCUGAAAAGGCGUGCGUCGGCGGUUCGAUUCCGCCCUGCGGCA
rfam:Candidate division WOR-1 bacterium RIFOXYB2_FTLL_48_7 rifoxyb2_full_scaffold_1992, whole genome shotgun sequence.